GUCGUUAACGAACGAGAUCUCGACCUACUAAAUAGUAGACUAAACUCUUCGGGGUUUGGAUUCACUUCUUAGAGGGACUUUUGGUGAGUAGCCAAAGGAAGUUCGAGGCAAUAACAGGUCUGUGAUGCCCUUAGAUGUUCUGGGCCGCACGCGCGCUACACUGAUCAAGUCAACGAGUUUACAACCUUGGCCGGAAGGUCUGGGUAAUCUUUUGAAACUUGAUCGUGCUGGGGAUAGUCCAUUGCAAUUAUUGGACUUCAACGAGGAAUUCCUAGUAAGCGUGAGUCAUCAGCUCGCGUUGAUUACGUCCCUGCCCUUUGUACACACCGCCCGUCGCUAAUACCGAUUGAAUGGUU
rnacentral:rRNA from 1 species